UACGUAGGGUGCGAGCGUUAAUCGGAAUUACUGGGCGUAAAGCGCACGUAGGCGGCUUGGUAUGUCGGGUGUGAAAUCCCCGGGCUCAACCUGGGAACUGCAUCCGAAACUGCCUUGCUCGAGUAUGGGAGAGGGAAGUGGAAUUUCCGGUGUAGCGGUGAAAUGCGUAGAUAUCGGGAGGAACACCAGUGGCGAAGGCGACUACCUGGCCCAUUCUUGACGCUGAGGCGCGAAAGCUAGGGGAGCGAACGGG
rnacentral:rRNA from 1 species